rnacentral:rRNA from 1 species
CAGUAGCCGCGGUAAGACAGAGGAUGCAAGCGUUAUCCGGAAUGAUUGGGCGUAAAGCGUCUGUAGGUGGCUUUUCAAGUCCGCCGUCAAAUCCCAGGGCUCAACCCUGGACAGGCGGUGGAAACUACCAAGCUGGAGUACGGUAGGGGCAGAGGGAAUUUCUGGUGGAGCGGUGAAAUGCGUUGAGAUCGGGAAGAACACCAACGGCAAAAGCACUCUGCUGGGCCGACACUGACACUGAGAGACGAAAGCUAGGGGAGCAAAUGGGAUUAGAUACCCGUGUAGUCCCUGUCUCUUAUAC